GACGAACGCUGGCGGCGCGCUUAACACAUGCAACUCGAGCGAGAACCAGGGCUUCGGCCCUGGGGACAGCGGCGAACGGGUGAGUAACACGUGGGUAAUCCACCCUCGGCACCGGAAUAGCCCGGGGAAACCCGGAUUAAUGCCGGAUGGCCCGCCGGCCCUGCGGGGCUGGCGGAAAAGGUAGCUUCGGCCUCCGGCCGAGGACGAGCCCGCGACGGAUUAGCUUGUUGGUGGGGUAACGGCCUACCAAGGCUGCGGUCCGUAGCUGGUCUGAGAGGAGGAUCAGCCACACUGGGACUGAGACACGGCCCAGACUCCUACGGGAGGCAGCAGUGGGGAAUCUUGCGCAAUGGGCGAAAGCCUGACGCAGCGACGCCGCGUGAGGGAAGAAGGCCUUCGGGUUGUAAACCUCUUUCAGGAGGGACGAAGCCACUCGGGUUAAUAGCCCAGAGGGUGACGGUACCUCCAGAAGAAGCCCCGGCUAACUACGUGCCAGCCGCCGCCGUAA
rnacentral:rRNA from 1 species